rnacentral:rRNA from 1 species
GAUGAACGCUGGCGGCGUGCCUAAUACAUGCAAGUCGAGCGAACGGACGAGAAGCUUGCUUUUCUGAUGUUAGCGGCGGACGGGUGAGUAACACGUGGAUAACCUACCUAUAAGACUGGGAUAACUUCGGGAAACCGGAGCUAAUACCGGAUAAUAUUUUGAACCGCAUGGUUCAAAAGUGAAAGACGGUCUUGCUGUCACUUAUAGAUGGAUCCGGGCUGCAUUAGCUAGUUGGUAAGGUAACGGCUUACCAAGGCAACGAUGCAUAGCCGACCUGAGAGGGGGGUAGGCCGACAGGGAACUGGAGCGCGGUCCUGGGUACUAAGGGAGGGCGCAGUAGGGAAUCGUCCGCAAUUGGCGAAAGCCUGACGGAGCAACGCCGCGUGAGUGAUGAAGGUCUUCGGAUCGUAAAACUCUGUUAUUAGGGAAGAACAUAUGUGUAAGUAACUGUGCACAUCUUGACGGUACCUAAUCAGAAAGCCACGGCUAACUACGUG